UGCUCUAGAGAGCAGAAGAGAAAGUUCUAGUCCAAUCUCCUCGUGUUUGGCGGCAGCCUCCUUAAUUAGCAGACUCUUUACCCCCACUUAGGCCAAUCAAACCCGGAGGCUGACAGCAGCAGAGGCUUUUACAGGGGUUAUCAGGGUGGGUACCUUAGAGGCUGCGUCUUUGAAAGGGCACCCCAAGAGUCCCCAUCCCUACAUCAAGAGAACAUUAAGGGAAAAUUUUCGUUAAUCUGCGAGCCACAGCACCUACAGGCGACUAAACACUUCGGUGGUGGAAGAUUUCAAGGGAAGUGCAGAGAAGGAAGCCUAAAUAAAAACAGGAAACCCGAUUUUAAAAAAGAAGAAGCCUCAUUCUGGCUGAAUUACGGGUAAGAGUAUUAAAAAGAAGUGGGGGGGAAAAAAA